rnacentral:rRNA from 1 species
UGGGGGAUAUUGGACAAUGGGGGGAACCCUGAUCCAGCGACGCCGCGUGAGUGAAGAAGUAUCUCGGUAUGUAAAGCUCUAUCAGCAGGGAAGAAAGAAAUGACGGUACCUGAGUAAGAAGCCCCGGCUAACUACGUGCCAGCAGCCGCGGUAAUACGUAGGGGGCAAGCGUUAUCCGGAAUUACUGGGUGUAAAGGGAGCGUAGACGGUAAAGCAAGUCUGGAGUGAAAGGCUGGGGCCCAACCCCGGGACUGCUCUGGAAACUGUUGAACUAGAGUGCAGGAGAGGCAGGCGGAAUUCCUAGUGUAGCGGUGAAAUGCGUAGAUAUUAGGAGGAACACCAGUGGCGAAGGCGGCCUGCUGGACUGUAACUGACGUUGAGGCUCGAAAGCGUGGGGAGCAAACAGG